rnacentral:tRNA from 1 species
AAGGGUAUAGCUCAAGUGAUAGAGUGCAUGCUUAGCAUGCAUGAGGUCCUGGGUUCAAUCCCCAGUACCUCCU